rnacentral:rRNA from 1 species
GUGCAAACGUUGUUCGGAUUUACUGGGCGUAAAGCGCGUGUAGGCGGCUUUGCAAGUCGGAUGUGAAAGCCCACGGCUCAACCGUGGAAGUGCAUCCGAAACUGCAUGGCUCGAGUCUCGGAGAGGAAGGUGGAAUGCUUGGUGUAGAGGUGAAAUUCGUAGAUAUCAAGCAGAACACCUGCGGCGAAGGCGGCCUUCGGGACGAUGACUGACGCUGAGACGCGAAAGCGUGGGGAGCAAACAGG